AUGACGGGUAUAUACGGAGAACCAAGCUGGGAACACAAGGAUCGUACAUACCAAUAUAUACGAGACUUGCACGCCCAGUCGAGAUUACCUUGGGUAAUUAUUGGUGAUUUUAAUGAGAUCUUAUUGUCAUCGGAAAAGGAGGGAGGGGCGCCAAGACAGCAAGCCCGCUUGCAAGCUUUCCAGGAUGCAUUAUCAGAUUGUGAUCUCGAAGACCUGGGAUACGUGGGGGAUAAACUCACGUGGUUCCGGGGUGGUCUGAAAGAGCGACUUGACCGAGCUGUGAUGAAUGGCGGGUGGAUAGGUAUGCACCCAUAUGCAGGCCUGUGUAAUUUGGAUAUGGGCAAAUCAGAUCACAGGCCCAUAAUG
rnacentral:rRNA from 1 species